UACUUUUGUUGGACCUUGUUUAAUAAUUGAGAAGAUCCCUAAGACACGAGCUAAGACAAGAAAAGUUGACAGGAGGACCCUAA